rnacentral:rRNA from 1 species
AACGAACGCUGGCGGCAUGCCUAACACAUGCAAGUCGAACGAGACCUUCGGGUCUAGUGGCGCACGGGUGCGUAACGCGUGGGAACCUGCCCUUAGGUUCGGAAUAACUCCCCGAAAGGGGUGCUAAUACCGGAUAAUGUCUUCGGACCAAAGAUUUAUCGCCUUUGGAUGGGCCCGCGUUGGAUUAGCUAGUUGGUAGGGUAAAUGCCUACCAAGGCGACGAUCCAUAGCUGGUCUGAGAGGAUGAUCAGCCACACUGGGACUGAGACACGGCCCAGACUCCUACGGGAGGCAGCAGUGGGGAAUAUUGGACAAUGGGCGAAAGCCUGAUCCAGCAAUGCCGCGUGAAUGAUGAAGGCCUUAGGGUUGUAAAGCUCUUUUACCCGGGAUGAUAAUGACAGUACCGGGAGAAUAAGCUCCGGCUAACUCCGUG